AGAGUUGAUCAUGGCUCAGGAUGAACGCUAGCUACAGGCUUAACACAUGCAAGUCGAGGGGAAACGACAUCGAAAGCUUGCUUUUGAUGGGCGUCGACCGGCGUACGGGUGAGUAACGCGUAUCCAACCCUGCCCACCACUUGGGGAUAACCUUGCGAAAGUAAGACUAAUACCCAAUGACGUCUCUAGAAGACAUCUGAAAGAGAUUAAAGAUUUAUCGGUGAUGGAUGGGGAUGCGUCUGAUUAGCUUGUUGGCGGGGUAACGGCCCACCAAGGCGACGAUCAGUAGGGGUUCUGAGAGGAAGGCCCCCCACAUUGGAACUGAGACACGGUCCAAACUCCUACGGGAGGCAGCA
rnacentral:rRNA from 1 species